ensembl:rRNA 5S_rRNA 5S ribosomal RNA
GCUUGCAGCCAAACUAUGCUGAACAUGCCUGAUCCCGUCUGAUCUCUGAACCUUUGCAGGGUUAGAUCUGGUCAGUACUUAGAGAAAAGACCAAGUGGGUUCACCAGAUGCAUUAAGAU